rnacentral:misc_RNA from 1 species
GUGAAUCAUCAAAUUUUUGAACGCAAAUUGCACUCUCUGGCAUCCCGGAGAGUAUGCCUGUUUGAGGGUCAGUUUAAUAAAAAUCGGCGUGUCGCUUUCGUGAUGCACCGGAGGUUGGGUCUUCUUAGCUUUAGGUUAAGAGUCUUAAAAUUGAUAUCUUUUUUGCGCGCUUUUAGACGUACAUAAUUUUUUUUUUUCUUUUAUUCCGUUGCAAAAUUUACCUAGGAAGGUUUUC